rnacentral:rRNA from 1 species
AUUGAACGCUGGCGGCAGGCCUAACACAUGCAAGUCGAACGAGUGGCGGACGGGUGAGUAAUGUCUGGGAAACUGCCUGAUGGAGGGGGAUAACUACUGGAAACGGUAGCUAAUACCGCAUACCCUCAGAUGUGCCCAGAUGUGAUUAGCUAGUUGGUGGGGUAACGGCUCACCAAGGCGACGAUCCCUAGCUGGGCUGAGAGGAUGACAAGCAAAACUGUAACUGAGACACGGUCCAGACUCCUAGGGGAGGCAGCAGUGGGGAAUAUUGCACAAUGGGCUCAAGCCUGAUGCAGCCAUGCCGCGUGUAGGAAGAAGGCCUUCGGGUUGUAAAGUACUUUCAGCGGGGAGGCUUUACCCGCAGAAGAAGCACCGGCUAACUCCGUGCCAGCAGCCGCGGUAAUUC